rnacentral:rRNA from 1 species
GGACGUCGCAGAGGGUGAGAAUCCCGUACGUGACCGAAGGCCCCCCCCAUGCGAGGCCCCUUCGACGAGUCGAGUUGUUUGGGAAUGCAGCUCUAAAUGGGUGGUAAAUUUCAUCUAAAGCUAAAUACUGGCCGGAGACCGAUAGCGCACAAGUAGAGUGAUCGAAAGAUGAAAAGCACUUUGGAAAGAGAGUCAAACAGUACGUGAAAUUGUUGAAAGGGAAGCGCUUGCGACCAGACUUGCUCGCGGGUGAUCAUCCGUCCUUCGGGGCGGUGCACUCGCCCGCGAUCAGGCCAGCAUCGGUUCUGGCGGCCGGACAAAGAGCCCGGGAACGUAGCUUCUUUCGGGGAGUGUUAUAGCCCGGGCUGCCAUGCGGCCAGCCGGGAUCGAGGACCGCGCUUCGGCUAGGAUGCUGGCGUAAUGGUCGUCAGCGACCCGUCUUGAAACACGGACCAAGGAGUUGAACAUUUGCGCGAGUGUUUGGGUGGCAAACCCAGACGCGCAAUGAAAGUGAACGCAGGUGGGAGCCUUUCGGGGCGCACCAUCGACCGAUCCUGAUGUCUUCGGAUGGAUUUGAGUAAGAGCAUAGCUGUUGGGACCCGAAAGAUGGUGAACUAUGCCUGAAUAGGGUGAAGCCAGAGGAAACUCUGGUGGAGGCUCGCAGCGGUUCUGACGUGCAAAUCGAUCGUCAAAUUUGGGCAUAGGGGCGAAAGACUAAUCGAACCAUCUAGUAGCUGGUUCCAGCCGAAGUUUCCCUCAGGAUAGCAGUAACGUUUUCAGUUUUAUGAGGUAAAGCGAUGAUUAGAGGCCUUGGGGUGAAACAACCUUAACCUAUUCUCAAACUUUAAAUAUGU